UAUCUGCGGUCAUUAAUUGCACAGAAGUUAAACUUUACCUAAAGGAAUGACGUUAAACAACGACUUUGGUGCUGAGUUACCAACUCGAUAAUAUCAAAGCUAAAAUCAAGCUAAAAUAAUGGCCGUCCUUCCCACGUGUUCUGUACAAGGUUAAAAAGGUAAAGAGGUAACAUGUAGUUUGUCCCAAGGUGUCCACCUCCUCACCCAGAGUAAGACCUCCCCCUCCUCACCCAGAGCCAGACCUCCACCGCCUGUCACAAGUCCUCCAGAACAGCUGAAAGGCGAGGCUGAGAGGCUGGGGGCCGGAGGCCGGAGGCUUGUGGUGCCAGGAUGGACCGGAGACUGAGGCUGGAGACCAGGGGCCUGCAGCACCGGAUCAGAGGGUGAUUUACUGCUGAGACCAACUGUGUUUGUAACCAGACCAGGAAUCCAUGGCUGAAGGAGCUGAUGGAGGAGCCGUGCUGAAGGCCCUGCCUGGUGGAGGAGCUGACGGAGGCCCUGCCUGGUGGAGGAUCUGAUGGAGGCCCUGCCUGGUGGAGGAGCUGACGGAGGCCCUGCCUGGUGGAGGAUGUCUGUCGUGGGGUAGAUGGAGCCUGACUCUGAAACCAGGACUCUGUCUGAGGAGAGCUGAUGGAGGAGCUGAGACGCUGGAGGACGACUAGGAAUCAACCAACAAGGAUUCCUCAAUGUGUUUAUGGAGCGGAGACGAGCUGAUAGGGGAGCCGUGAAUCUGGAGGAUGACCAUCACUCUACCAACAAGGAUUACCAGGAAUCUGGAGGACUGACUAAGAAGCCGUACAUCUGGAAUGCAAAUCCUGAGGACGACCAGGAAUCUACCAUCAACGAUUCCUCACACACCUGAGCUGAACCCCACCUGAUCCGGACAUCCUGCUGGUCCCGUCUCCUCAGUUCAUCUGAGGUCCUCCAGAAGACCUGCUGAGCUCAGCGGUCUGAGGCUGAUGGAUCAAUGACCUCCAGUGGGAGUGAUCUUCUUGAUCCCGCAUGUAGCUGUGUGCUUCCACACGCCUUUCCCUCACGUCUGUCACUAACCUCACUACUUCACUACUCUCUACUGCUGCCUCUUUCCUUCCUUAUCUGUGGUUCAAACCUUUACACUGAAGGCGCGUCUUCCUGCCCUCAGAGGGUUUAGCGUUAGGGUUGAGAGUCAGGGUUUGGAGUCAGGGACAGAGCUGGUCAGGGAGGACUGCUUUUACACAAACAUCUUCCCUUGCUUUCGGAAUGGUGGUGUCAUUUUGCAAAGUGUAUUAAACUUCUGUCAAGUGUUUUUGUUUAUAUAUUAAAAUCCCACAUUGACUUCUA